GGUCAUACUUUUCCACAGCUUUCUUGAACUUUUCUUUUUUGCAUUUUCCUAUAGUUUACUAAACAUGUAUAGCUAAAAAGAAUCUAUAAUUAGAGCUUUUUGGAAACAAAGAAACAAAAAGCUCAAGAAAGCUGUGGGAAAACAUGACAA
rnacentral:pre_miRNA from 1 species